UACGUAGGGGGCAAGCGUUGUCCGGAAUCAUUGGGCGUAAAGAGCGUGUAGGCGGCCAGGUAGGUCUGCUGUGAAAACUCGAGGCUCAACCUCGAGACGUCGGCGGAAACCAUCUGGCUAGAGUCCGGAAGAGGAGAGUGGAAUUCCUGGUGUAGCGGUGAAAUGCGCAGAUAUCAGGAGGAACACCUAGUGCGAAGGCAGCUCGCUGGGACGUUACUGACGCUGAGACGCGAAAGCGUGGGGAGCAAACAGG
rnacentral:rRNA from 1 species